CACUCCUGCGGGAGGCAGCAGUGGGGAAUUUUGGACAAUGGGCGAAAGCCUGAUCCAGCAAUGCCGCGUGCAGGAUGAAGGCCUUCGGGUUGUAAACUGCUUUUGUACGGAACGAAAAAGCUCCUUCUAAUACAGGGGGCCCAUGACGGUACCGUAAGAAUAAGCACCGGCUAACUACGUGCCAGCAGCCGCGGUAAUACGUAGGGUGCGAGCGUUAAUCGGAAUUACUGGGCGUAAAGCGUGCGCAGGCGGUUAUGUAAGACAGAUGUGAAAUCCCCGGGCUCAACCUGGGAACUGCAUUUGUGACUGCAUGGCUAGAGUACGGUAGAGGGGGAUGGAAUUCCGCGUGUAGCAGUGAAAUGCGUAGAUAUGCGGAGGAACACCGAUGGCGAAGGCAAUCCCCUGGACCUGUACUGACGCUCAUGCACGAAAGCGUGGGGAGCAAACAGGAUUAGAUACCCGGGUAGUCCCAUGAU
rnacentral:rRNA from 1 species